UUACGAGUUUAGGUGUCUUGUUGUGAUUAGGAUGUAUGGAUUAGUAUUGUGUGAAGGUUUUUUUGAAAAGAACGUGUCGUUUGCUUGGGGGAAGUUCAUCGAUAGCGGAAGAACUGAAUUCAUAAAUAUUGAAUGGUUUUGUUGUGUAUGGUUAUGGUGUGCCAACAGGAAGUUUUACGUUGAGGGUGGGUAAGGAUUUGCGAUAUGCAGACUCUCUCUCGCUCGUGGGAGAGGGAGAACCAACAGUCAGCUGAGGUCCUGUCAGGACGAUGUUUGUGGUUGUGAUAGCAAGUGUGGUGGCUCACGUGAGUGCGGUACUAGAUUAGGCGGUGGGAGAACUUGUUGGCGCUCUCGGGAAAUGUUCGGAAAAGCGAUUGUUCUCAAAACCAGAGGCAGAAGGAUAACUCUGUUUGGUAGCGGAACCGACUGAAAUCAGAUAGUCGUGCCGCUCGAGCCGUGCGAGUCAUACUCUAUCCUGGGCUAGUCCGUUUACGUUGUACGUGUGUUUUCCGGAAGUGAAAUCUUUGGGAUGGAAAUUGGAUCGCAAAUGCAUAACUGUUUAUGAUUAACUGGAAAAGGAUUUUCCUGUCAAAGAAGAUAAGCUUGGACUUGCAUUAAGGGGAUAUUUUUUUCCCUGAAAAUACAAUUAGUCCAUUAGCGCUCUUGGUGGCUAGAGUGGAUUAGCAGUUUUCGGAAUGAAAUUUCGCUAAAAUAGUGUCCUCUGUUUUGGAGUUGAGCUUUUUUCGGAGAUAAGUGAAAAGUAAACAGUCCAGUGGCGGAAGUAAGCAGCAAGAAGAGCAGUGCAAGAGAAUAAGGCUCCCGUGUCGCAGGGGUGUGUUUUGCUUGUAAAGUGGAAAGUGUAUUUGGAUGAAAGCCAUGUCCUGAAAAGGAAGGAGAAGGUCCUUGACGUUUCCGCGACAUCGUAAGAUGCCCGACGAAAGCGGGUGCGUAAAAGAGGUGGAAAUUAUUUUAGGAGAGUGCUUUUCAUCAAUCAUAAUGGGAUUGGAGUUUCGCAGCCUUGCAAAGGCAUAAGUGUGACGGUCCUCGUGUUGGGGUAGGUUGUAUACGUGAAACAGCCAUUCUUCAUGACUACGUAACAAGCGAAGAAAAGCAGAAAGCCGACACUAAUAAAAAGGAUAUUUUCUGCUUGUUCAUUCCGGAGAGCCUUUGGCUUCAAGUUGUUUGAUGUGAAGAAGCUACAAAGGGAGAAACGUGAUACGGUGGUUGAACCUUCGACGAUGAAAUUUGCAGUUGAUUAAAAGCAAACAUUUUGCAAAAAAGGAUAACCUUCCGCAGUGUUCUACCAAGUGAAUUUGUUAUCAUUCUUGAUUAAUUGUUAUGGUGAUGUUCUCCGGUUACACACGAUAAAAAUAAUUUGAAGAUAAAACGUGUCUCUUGGUGGUAAUAAAUUUUCAUUCCAACUAGGAGCUUUCAUGUGAUACCUGUCUCAGUGUCUAUCAAGCUUCAAAGGGCUGCCCUGUAGAACAGCAUCCAACAACGAGACGAGUGCCGGAUAACACGUUCUGAAUAAUUAAUGCCACUCGAGUGAUCCCCGCGUGUGAAUGUUGCAACGACGACGUCAAGCCAGCGGCCAUCAUCGUUGCUGACGGCGAGCUUCGAAUUAAUCAUAAAAUUAUUGGCCCUCUGCGAGUCGUUUGCGACCCUCCUGGACCUCGCCACUCUCGAACCGGGAUCUGCAACUUCAUCCGGAUAAUAUAUCCUCGUCGUCGUGCAAACAAACAUUAUUCACCUCCAUGCUCUCGUUCGGAGCCCGUUCGGAAGAAAAAAAGCCCCGUGUGUUAUCACCGUAAAUUUAUGUGAAUCAAAUAUUUGCCCAACCCCCAAAAGUCAAACCAGUGAAAACCCAAAAAAAAAACGACGACGACCCCUUCGCAGUGAUCUAUUGCAAUUGAUGCUCGUCUCUUCGGUGUGAAAAAUUAGAAUUUGAAAUUUGUGCCCCGCGACGUUGUGUAUACCCCAUAAAUUGCUAGCACGUGUGUGUGUGUGUUUGACUGCAAGGGGUAAGCUUUGACCGAGAAAAAAAAAAGUCAGACCGCGACCGGCUACCACAACGAGUGAAUUUUCACCUCACCGGAAAAAGGUUGAUUUGUUUGUUUGAAAAUACGGCGGCGCCGCUGUGUCCCCGCACCGACCUGCCGACCGACCCACCGUCGACAUUGAGUGUUUGCUGGCAAAAGCGAAGAGUGAAAAUCCAAUAAAUUUCAUUUUCGUUCCCAAUUCGGAAUACCAUCAAUCAAUAGGACGGAAUACGUUUUCCAGUUUCUUUUGGGCGAGUUUUGGCGAAAGCUUGAAGGAGCAAAUCAAAAGUUUGUCGUGAGUGCAGCACCACCACCACCGGAGGCAACAGUAGUGGCAGGAUAUAAGAGAACCGCUCCGGAACCGACCAUCACCGCCGAGUAGAGCAGAGUGCAAACUUUCCUGCUGUGCAUAUUUAUUUCCAUUUUCCCCAGCUGAGAACAACGGAAACCCCCGAAAAUUCCUGUAGAUUCUGAACCACAACAAUGACAGACAGCAGCGCCAUGUCGCAACAACAACGGGAUCGUGCUAAUUUUGAAUCAACCGGUUCGACGCUGCUGACGACGACGGUGCAACAGCUGCCGUUGCGCUCAGUGCGGUGGUGAAAGUCAUCGCAACCUGACAAGUACAGCUGAAUUACCUGUAACCGUUGAAGAAAAGCUCCGUGUCAUCGGGUGUAGUUUGUGCACUAUUGGAGGGAGUGUAUGUGUUUGUGUACCUAGUUAUAAAGUGGUAAAGCGGUGAAACCACCCAGUGUUUUUAAUAGAAACGUCGAAAACAAAGUGGGAACGAGGCCUGCGGUGCAUCCUUUUGCCGACUGCAGCAGAGCUCUGUUGCGUUCUUCACAAAAGCAACAUCAUCGGAAUACAUACCAGUCACCAUGAGGAAUCGAAUACAGCUCACCGUGGACAUUUGGGUCCUGGUCGUCUAUGUGAUAGGUAAGUUUGAAAUGUGGGCCUAUUAGAUACUAAUUUGAUAAAUAGCCUCUACCUAGAAGCUAUUGCGAUUAAUAACAGUAAUUGUUAUCCAGUAUGUUCAUGAUGUGGAUAUUAUGUUUCCUAAACAUUUUCGAGGAAGGAUUGCAUUCAACUGUUUCUCACAAAUCCAUUAUUUCCCGCUAUUCAACUCCGAUCAUUCACCAUCAACCCAAUUUUCCUCCUUAGUGAGCUAGCUAUGCAAAAACCGUUCGACGUAAUCAACUCGAAUUCCCACCACAACACCCCGACAGAGCGGUUUCCGCCAGCCAAACCGCAAGAGACGCCGGUUUUUGAAUCUAAAUUUGGCUGUCUGUCAAGGCACCAGCUUGCAGGAAAUGAACUGAAAACGGAAAACAGCACAGCAAAAAAAAA